rnacentral:rRNA from 1 species
AGCACGUAGGUGGGUUUGUAAGUCAGACGUGAAAGCCUUCUGUUCAACGGAAGAAUUGCAUCUGAAACUACAAACCUUGAGUGUAGGAGGGGAGAAUGGAACUUCUGGUGGAGCGGUGAAAUGCGUAGAUAUCAGAAGGAACGCCGGCGGCGAAAGCGAUUCUCUGGCCUAUUACUGACACUCAGUGUGCGAAAGCUAGGGGAGCAAACGGGAUUAGAUACCCCGGUAGUCCUAGCCGUAAACGAUGGGCACUAAGUAGAGGGAAUUACCGAUGUUCUCUCUGCCGUAGCUAACGCAUUAAGUGCCCCGCCUGGGGAGUACGGCCGCAAGGCUAAAACUCAAAAGAAUUGACGGGGGCUCGCACAAGCGGUGGAGCAUGUGGCUUAAUUCGAUGCAACGCGAAAAACCUUACCGGGGCUUGACAUGGUAGAAGUAGGAACCCGAAAGGGUAACGAACGGUAUCCAGUCCGUGACUAUCACAGGUGUUGCAUGGCUGUCGUCAGCUCGUGUCGUGAGACGUUGGGUUAAGUCCCCUAACGAGCGAAACCCUUGUUUUUAGUUGCCAGCGGGUUGUGCCGGGCACUCUAGAAAGACUGCCGUCGUCAAGACGGAGGAAGGUGGGGAUGACGUCAAGUCAUCAUGGCCCUUAUGCCCCGGGCUGCACACGUGCUACAAUGGCCGGUACAAACGGAAGCGAAGCCGAGAGGUGAAGCGAAUC